GACGAACGCUGGCGGCGUGCUUAACACAUGCAAGUCGAACGGAAAGGCCCUGCUUUUGUGGGGUGCUCGAGUGGCGAACGGGUGAGUAACACGUGAGUAACCUGCCCUUGACUUUGGGAUAACUUCAGGAAACUUGGGCUAAUACCGGAUAGGAGCUCCUGCUGCAUGGUGGGGGUUGGAAAGUUUCGGCGGUUGGGGAUGGACUCGCGGCUUAUCAGCUUGUUGGUGGGGUAGUGGCUUACCAAGGCUUUGACGGGUAGCCGGCCUGAGAGGGUGACCGGCCACAUUGGGACUGAGAUAAGGCCCAGACUCCUACGGGAGGCAGCAGUGGGGAAUAUUGCAAAAUGGGAGGAAGCCUGAUGCAGCAACGCCGCGUGCGGGAUGACGGCCUUCGGGUUGUAAACCGCUUUCGCCUGUGACGAAGCGUGAGUGACGGUAAUGGGUAAAGAAGCACCGGCUAACUACGUG
rnacentral:rRNA from 1 species